GUUAAAGCUAAAUAAAAAAAUUAAAAAAUAGUAAAAACAUGUUAUUUUGAUGCUGAAACACGUUAAUGGCUAAACUAUCGCGGAUGUAUAUUUUGAAACCCUAUACAGGCUCAGAACAGCACGGUUGUUUGUAAGAGGAAAGUUAUUAUACGCAUGCGCAGUGGAAUUACAUUUCUUGAAGGUUUUUUAAAAUGGCUACGGUAACAGGAUUAUAGAAACUAAUCAUUGACAACGAUAUUCCAACCAUAUUCGCGUUUCAACAAAGAUACUUACCUGUUGUAAAGAAGGGAAAAGUAAACUAAAGCAGAAAGACUUUUUCUUGGAACUCGAUAUAAAUAUUUUUUGUGUUUCGUGUUUAAAUUUUUUUUUUAAUGUUUUCAGCUUGAGAUUGUUAAAAUCAAUAUGAAUAUAUUUAAAAUAUUUUUUACUUAAAGAUUGAAAGAA